rnacentral:rRNA from 1 species
UGGGGAAUAUUGCGCAAUGCACGAAAGUGUGACGCAGCGACACCGCGUGGGCGACGAAGUCUUUCGGGAUGUAAAGCCCUGUCAGCAGGGAAGAUAAUGACGGUACCUGCAAAGGAAGCACCGGCUAACUACGUGCCGGCAGCCGCGGUAAUACGUAGGGUGCAAGCGUUGUCCGGAUUUACUGGGCGUGAAGCGUAUGUAGGCGGUUACCUAAGUCAGAUGUUAAAUCCGAUGGCUCAACCAUCGUCCGCAUCUGAUACUGGGUUGACUAGAGUGUUGGAGAGGAAAGUGGAACUCAUAGUGUAGCGGUGAAAUGCGUAGAUAUUAUGAGGAACACCAGUGGCGAAGGCGACUUUCUGGACAACUACUGACGCUGAGAUGCGAAAGCAUGGGGAGCAAACAGG